rnacentral:rRNA from 5 species
AUGGUUAAGUUAGAAAGGGCGCACGGUGAAUGCCUUGGCACUAGGAGCCGAUGAAGGACGGGACUAACACCGAUAUGCUUCGGGGAGCUGUAAGUGAGCUUUGAUCCGGAGAUUUCCGAAUGGGGAAACCCACUGUUCGUAAUGGAACAGUAUCUUUAUCUGAAUACAUAGGAUAUUGAAGGCAGACCCGGGGAACUGAAACAUCUAAGUACCCGGAGGAAGAGAAAGCAAAUGCGAUUUCCUGAGUAGCGGCGAGCGAAACGGAAUUAGCCCAAACCAAGAGGCUUGCCUCUUGGGGUUGUAGGACACUCUAUACGGAGUUACAAAGGAACGAAGUAAAUGAAGCGACCUGGAAAGGUCCGUCGAAGAAGGUAACAACCCUGUAGUUGAAACUUCGUUCCCUCUUGAGUGGAUCCUGAGUACGGCGGAACACGUGAAAUUCCGUCGGAAGCUGGGAGGACCAUCUCCCAAGGCUAAAUACUACCUAGUGACCGAUAGUGAACCAGUACCGUGAGGGAAAGGUGAAAAGCACCCCGGAAGGGGAGUGAAAGAGAUCCUGAAACCGUGUGCCUACAAGUAGUCAGAGCCCGUUAACGGGUGAUGGCGUGCCUUUUGUAGAAUGAACCGGCGAGUUACGAUCCCAUGCAAGGUUAAGCUGAUAAGGCGGAGCCGUAGCGAAAGCGAGUCUGAAUAGGGCGUUUAGUAUGUGGUUGUAGACCCGAAACCAGGUGAUCUACCCAUGUCCAGGGUGAAGUUCAGGUAACACUGAAUGGAGGCCCGAACCCACGCACGUUGAAAAGUGCGGGGAUGAGGUGUGGGUAGCGGAGAAAUUCCAAUCGAACCUGGAGAUAGCUGGUUCUCUCCGAAAUAGCUUUAGGGCUAGCCUCAUGUUGUGAGAGUCUUGGAGGUAGAGCACUGAUUGGACUAGGGGCCCCCAACGGGUUACCGAAUUCAGUCAAACUCCGAAUGCCAAAGACUUAUCCAUGGGAGUCAGACUGCGAGUGAUAAGAUCCGUAGUCAAAAGGGAAACAGCCCAGACCACCAGCUAAGGUCCCCAAGUAUACGUUAAGUGGAAAAGGAUGUGGAGUUGCUUAGACAACCAGGAUGUUGGCUUAGAAGCAGCCACCAUUUAAAGAGUGCGUAAUAGCUCACUGGUCGAGUGACUCUGCGCCGAAAAUGUACCGGGGCUAAACGUAUCACCGAAGCUGUGGAUUGACAUCUUUGAUGUCAGUGGUAGGAGAGCGUUCUAAGUGCAGCGAAGUCAGACCGUAAGGACUGGUGGAGCGCUUAGAAGUGAGAAUGCCGGUAUGAGUAGCGAAAGACAAGUGAGAAUCUUGUCCACCGAAUGCCUAAGGUUUCCUGAGGAAGGCUCGUCCGCUCAGGGUUAGUCGGGACCUAAGCCGAGGCUGAAAAGCGUAGGCGAUGGCCAACAGGUUGAUAUUCCUGUACCACCUCCCCGCCGUUUGAGUAAUGGGGGGACGCAGUAGGAUAGGGUAAGCGCGCUGCUGGAUAUGCGCGUUCAAGCAGUUAGGCUGAUGAGUAGGCAAAUCCGCUCAUCAUAAAGGCUGAGCUGUGAUGACGAGGGAAUUAUAGUACCGAAGUUCCUGAUUCCACACUGCCAAGAAAAGCCUCUAGCGAGGCGGGAGGUGCCCGUACCGCAAACCGACACAGGUAGGCGAGGAGAGAAUCCUAAGGUGAUCGAGAGAACUCUCGUUAAGGAACUCGGCAAAAUGACCCCGUAACUUCGGGAGAAGGGGUGCUCUGGUAGGGUGUAUAGCCCGAGAGAGCCGCAGUGAAUAGGCCCAGGCGACUGUUUAGCAAAAACACAGGUCUCUGCGAAGCCGCAAGGCGAAGUAUAGGGGCUGACGCCUGCCCGGUGCUGGAAGGUUAAGAGGAGGGGUUAUCCUUUGGGAGAAGCUCUGAAUCGAAGCCCCAGUAAACGGCGGCCGUAACUAUAACGGUCCUAAGGUAGCGAAAUUCCUUGUCGGGUAAGUUCCGACCCGCACGAAAGGCGUAACGAUCUGGGCACUGUCUCAACGAGAGACUCGGUGAAAUUAUAGUACCUGUGAAGAUGCAGGUUACCCGCGACAGGACGGAAAGACCCCGUGGAGCUUUACUGUAGCCUGAUAUUGAAUUUUGGUACAGCUUGUACAGGAUAGGUAGGAGCCUGAGAAGCCGGAGCGCUAGCUUCGGUGGAGGCGUCGGUGGGAUACUACCCUGGCUGUAUUGAAAUUCUAACCCGCGGCCCUGAUCGGGCCGGGAGACAGUGUCAGGUGGGCAGUUUGACUGGGGCGGUCGCCUCCUAAAAUGUAACGGAGGCGCCCAAAGGUUCCCUCAGAAUGGUUGGAAAUCAUUCGUAGAGUGUAAAGGCACAAGGGAGCUUGACUGCGAGACCUACAAGUCGAGCAGGGACGAAAGUCGGGCUUAGUGAUCCGGUGGUUCCGCAUGGAAGGGCCAUCGCUCAACGGAUAAAAGCUACCCCGGGGAUAACAGGCUUAUCUCCCCCAAGAGUCCACAUCGACGGGGAGGUUUGGCACCUCGAUGUCGGCUCAUCGCAUCCUGGGGCUGUAGUCGGUCCCAAGGGUUGGGCUGUUCGCCCAUUAAAGCGGUACGCGAGCUGGGUUCAGAACGUCGUGAGACAGUUCGGUCCCUAUCCGUCGUGGGCGUAGGAAAUUUGAGAGGAGCUGUCCUUAGUACGAGAGGACCGGGAUGGACACACCGCUGGUGUACCAGUUGUCUUGCCAAAGGCAUCGCUGGGUAGCUAUGUGUGGACGGGAUAAGUGCUGAAAGCAUCUAAGCAUGAAGCCCCCCUCAAGAUGAGAUUUCCCAUAGCGCAAGCUAGUAAGAUCCCUGAAAGAUGAUCAGGUUGAUAGGUCAGAGGUGGAAGCGUGGCGACAUGUGUAGCUGACUGAUACUAAUCGAUCGAGGACUUAACCAAA